rnacentral:rRNA from 1 species
AUCUUCCGCAAUGGACGAAAGUCUGACGGAGCGACGCCGCGUGAGUGAUGAAGGUUUUCGGCUCGUAAAACUCUGUUGUUAGGGAAGAACAAGUAUCGAUCGUAUAAGUUGGUACCUUGACGGUACCUAAUCAGAAAGCACCGGCUACUUACUUGCCAGCAGCCGCGGUAAUACGUAGGGGGCGAGCGUUGUCCGGAAUUAUUGGGCGUAAAGGGCGCGCAGGCGGUCUUCUAAGUCUGAUGUGAAAGCUCGUAGCUUAACUACGGGCGGUCAUUGGAAACUGGGAGACUUAAGGAAAGAAGAGGAGAGUGGAAUUCCACGUGUAGCGGUGAAAGGCGUAAAGAUAUGGAGGAACACCAGUGGCGAAGGCGACCCUCUGGUCUGUAACUGACGCUGAGGCGCGAAAGCGUGGGGAGCAAACA